rnacentral:tRNA from 1 species
GGAAGGCUGGCUGAGUCCGGUUUAAGGCACCGGUUUCGAAAACCGGCGGACCGAAAGGUCCCGUGGGUUCGAAUCCCACGCCUUCCUCCA